UCUCUCUCUGACCUGUAAUAAGUGAACUCUGAGCUCAUGUGUUUGUGACUCUUCACCUCUGUCUCCUCUCACAGGGAGAAGAUGAUCUGCAGCAUCCUGCUGCUCAUCAUCCUGACCUCCUGUGUCUCUGGAACAUUUGUAGUGAAUGUGACCCAGACCUCCUAUCAGGCAGAGGAGAACCACGACAU